UACGUAGGGUGCGAGCGUUGUCCGGAAUUAUUGGGCGUAAAGAGCUCGUAGGCGGUCUGUUACGUCUGCUGUGAAAACCCAGGGCUUAACCCUGGGCUUGCAGUGGAUACGGGCAGACUAGAGGCAGGUAGGGGAGAAUGGAAUUCCCGGUGUAGCGGUGAAAUGCGCAGAUAUCGGGAGGAACACCGGUGGCGAAGGCAGGUCUCUGGGCCACUACUGACGCUGAGGAGCGAAAGCGUGGGUAGCGAACAGG
rnacentral:rRNA from 1 species